rnacentral:rRNA from 1 species
AACGAACGCUGGCGGCAGGCCUAAUACAUGCAAGUCGAGCGCCCUAGCAAUAGGGAGCGGCGCACGGGUGAGUAACACGUGGGAAUCUACCCUUGACUACGGGACAACGUCGGGAAGCUGACGCUAAUACGGUAUAAUGACUCCGGUCCAAAGAUUUAUCGGUCAGGGAUGAGCCCGCGUUAGAUUAGUUGGUUGGUGAGGUAAUGGCUCACCAAGCCUACGAACUAUAGCUGUUCCGAGAGGACGGUCAGCCACGCUGGAACUGAGACACGGUCCAGAAUCUUACGGGAGGCAGCAGAAAGGAAUAUUGGACAGUGGGGGCAACCCUGAUCCAGCCAUGCCGCGUAAGUGACGAAGGCCUUCGGGUUGUAAAGCUCUUUCGGAUGUGAAGAUAAUGACAGUAGCAUAAGAAGAAGCUCCGGCUAAACUCGUGCCAGCCGCCGCGGUAA